UUAGUUAAAUAUUCACCAGGAUCGUGUCUCUGGUGUUUUUCUCUCCGUGUCAACCUCCGUCUGAAGGUGCAGACCUGACUGGUUCCAGGAAGUAUCUCACCUGAGUCUCUAGUGUCCAGGUAGAAAGUUGAUGUGGAUUCAGCGGCAUGGACCAGAGGGAGGACAAAGAGGAGGGAGUCAGACAUCUGCAGGACGGGUUGACUGGUUUCAGUCAUUCAUCUGAUCCCAGCUGUGUUUCCCUCAGGAGUGAUCAGUCAAAUGAUCGCUUCAUUAAUUUUAAAGGACAUCAACCCUCUGCUCUUGAGAGGUAAAAUGUUUCCUCCACGUUUCUGAUUCAUGUUUAAACUGUUAUUGAUCCAGAGAAGUUUUAUUAACCAGUUUAUUUCUCUUCAGUUUCAUUAAUCUCAUGUAAAUGUGUUACAUCUGGAAGCUGUCCAGUCUAACCAGACUGGAACUGAUUCUUCUUCUCUAAGAGGAUCAGUCCAGACCCCAGCUGUGUGUCCCUCAACAGUGAUGGGUCCAAAACUCAUGACAUUGAUUUUAAAGGACAUCAACCCUCUGCUCCUGAGAGGUAAACCAGUGUCCAGCUUCAUCCAUGAGUCAGAGGAGACUAGCUCCUUUCUACAGUUUCCACUUUAACCUGUGGAGGUUGAUUUGAGAAGCAGGCUUUGGAUCAUAGGACACUGGUUUGAAUGGUAACUGACAGGUAGAACGUGUGUGGGUGGAGUGAAGAAGCCAUAUCCAUGGCUGCAGUAGCUAUGAGGACACUGUCUGUUAGUUAUUUAACAUGUUAUUCUAUGUCACUUUGACAACAGGUUACUGACGUUAUUACAACAUCAAUUACUGUUUCUAAUAUUUCUAUUGUUAUUGAAAAUGUCCUUACAAAAUAAAUCCUAAACUGAAUUUUCAAAUUAAAAGUUUAUGUCAACUAUAUAUUGUAAUUAAAAAAGAACCAGUUGAGUCUUGACAAGUAGUUGAAAGUUUAUCAGGUUAUGAUUUAAAUGGUUCUUAAAUAAAUA